GACGAACGCUGGCGGCGUGCCUAACACAUGCAAGUCGAGCGGGGAUUUAAGUGGAAGUUCUUCGGAAUGGAGAUUUAAAUUCUAGCGGCGGACGGGUGAGUAACGCGUGAACAAUCUGUCCCGGACAGGGGGAUAACACUUGGAAACAGGUGCUAAUACCGCAUAAGACCACGGCCUCGCAUGGGGCUGAGGUAAAAGGAGCAAUCCGGUUCGGGGUGAGUUCGCGUCCGAUUAGCUAGUUGGUGAGGUAACGGCCCACCAAGGCGACGAUCGGUAGCCGGCCUGAGAGGGUGAACGGCCACAUUGGAACUGAGAGACGGUCCAAACUCCUACGGGAGGCAGCAGUGGGGAAUAUUGGGCAAUGGGCGAAAGCCUGACCCAGCAACGCCGCGUGAGGGAAGAAGGUUUUCGGAUUGUAAACCUCUGUCCUACGGGACGAAGGAAGUGACGGUACCAUAGGAGGAAGCCCCGGCUAACUACGUG
rnacentral:rRNA from 1 species